CCGAUGAGGAGUCCCUCUCCAUGACCACCCUCAGAGGUUGGCCUUCCUCCGAUUAUUUUAUUAAAGGUGCACCUCCACAUUCAAUGGAGGUGAAUAUGACUUCAAACAAAGCAGCAGAGGCGGCGGCAACUUCCAAUAAUGCAUCUAAAUCUGAAGAUGACGAAGGAUGAAUUAUGCUUGUAAAAGAACUAGCAUCUGGGCUCAUCUAGACGUGUACAUUUUACGUAGAAGCAAAGGUUCAAUAGACGUGGAAAUUUUACAAACCGCAUGGCAAUUUGGUCAAUUGCUGGGAGCUGGACGGAUGCAACCUGGUGAUGCAGCAAUUAUUUUCAGAGAUCAUUGCUACCUCGAAGCAUGAAUUACCGGUUUUUGUUGAAACGCACGUUGUAUUUAUUGGUAGCCCUUCAGCUUUCUGAAUAUUUUCUUUUCUGAUGGUCGUUCAGAUCAUUAGUUUUCCUUGUACAUAUGCUUGCAAGAAUAAUAGCAAUGGUGUUU
rnacentral:misc_RNA from 1 species